CUGGCGGCGUGCCUAACACAUGCAAGUCGAACGGAGAUAUUAAUGAAGCUUGCGAUUGAUAUCUUAGUGGCGGACGGGUGAGUAACGCGUGGGUAAUCUACCUAUCAGUGGGGGACAACAGUUGGAAACGACUGCUAAUACCGCAUACCUUAAGCAAUUAAGAAAGAUGGCCUCUGAAUAUGCUGUCGCUGAUAGAUGAGCCCGCGUCUGAUUAGCUAGUUGGUGGGGUAAAGGCCUACCAAGGCGACGAUCAGUAGCCGGCCUGAGAGGGUGAACGGCCACACUGGGACUGAGACACGGCCCAGACUCCUACGGGAGGCAGCAGUGGGGAAUAUUGCGCAAUGGGGGAAACCCUGACGCAGCGACGCCGCGUGAGCGAAGAAGGCCUUAGGGUUGUAAAGCUCUGUUUUAAGGGACGAAUGUUAUGGGGAGUAAUAUGCCCUGUAAAUGACGGUACCUUAAGAGGAAGCCCCGGCUAACUACGUGCCAGCAGCGGC
rnacentral:rRNA from 1 species